AGUUUGUUACUACCUACCACGUGCUUUAUGGUAAUGGUGGAUGGUAAGUUGGUAGAGGGUUGCUAAGGAAAAUGAUGUGAUUCUGAUAGGGACAACUGAAAUGCAAUGAAGUUUCUAUCGUAAUCUGAUUCCACAUCUCUUUUUAAAAUAUUUAUUAAUCUUAUACCUGUUUUUUUCUUAUUUUUAAUUAGAUAUUUUAGUCUCUAUUAGCGAAUAUGGCUGGGUUAAAUUCAAAAAUAUUGAUGAAUAGUUUAAUUUUGUAACAAAUUGAUCAAAAUGAAUGUAUUUGGAUCAUGUACUUCAAAGAGACGAAUUAUUUUGAUGAUGUUAAUCAAUAUUUCAAAAUUAUAUUAUGGCAGUGAAUCCAAAAUUCCUCAAGAAAGAGUAAAUGAUUCUUUAGGUACUACGUCCACUGGUGUAGUAGGUGCCACUUCGGUUAAGAUGGUGUUCUCCUCCAGUAGUGAAAGUGCAGUUAAGUAUUGCGUGAACUCUUCGAAGCUGACAUGGCCAUCAUUAUCUAUAGAAAGAUGUUAGAAUAGAGUCUUGUUCCAUGAUUGGAUAUUAUUUUUAUUAUAUUGAAGAAGUUCGAAACUAUCCAUAAUAUUUAUAAUUAUAAAUUUUUGUAAUCAUACAUUGUCAUGUUUAAAAUUACAUUUUUUAU